rnacentral:rRNA from 1 species
UACGAAGGGGGCUAGCGUUGUUCGGAUUUACUGGGCGUAAAGCGCACGUAGGCGGAUCGAUCAGUCAGGGGUGAAAUCCCAGAGCUCGACUCUGGAACUGCCUUUGAUACUGUCGAUCUGGAGUAUGGAAGAGGUGAGUGGAAUUCCGAGUGUAGAGGUGAAAUUCGUAGAUAUUCGGAGGAACACCAGUGGCGAAGGCGGCUCACUGGUCCAUUACUGACGCUGAGGUGCGAAAGCGUGGGGAGCAAACAGG